rnacentral:rRNA from 1 species
AUACGGAGGGUGCAAGCGUUAAUCGGAAUUACUGGGCGUAAAGCGCACGCAGGCGGCUUUUUAAGUCGGAUGUGAAAGCCCCGGGCUCAACCUGGGAAUUGCAUCUGAUACUGGGAAGCUAGAGUAUGUGAGAGGGGGGUAGAGUUCCAAGUGUAGCGGUGAAAUGCGUAGAGAUUUGGAGGAAUACCAGUGGCGAAGGCGGCCCCCUGGCACAAUACUGACGCUCAGGUGCGAAAGCGUGGGGAGCAAACAGGAUUAGAUACCCUGGUAGUCCACGCCGUAAACGAUGUCUACUAGAUGUUCGUGGUCUUGUACCGUGAGUAUCGCAGCUAACGCAUUAAGUAGACCGCCUGGGGAGUACGGUCGCAAGAUUAAAACUCAAAUGAAUUGACGGGG